CAUUAGUGAGGUGAUUAGAUGCUUGUGUGGUUUAUAAAGUCUUUUUACAUACAAGUUAUAAUUCAAAAUGUUGUUUUUUUCCUGUCAGAAAAGCACAUGGAUACAUUUGUGAGAGAAAAACUCGUCGAGUGCAGUCUUAUUGAGGCGUCUAACGGUUGAAACAAACAUGGAAUUCCUUAACCGAGCAGAGUCCACAAAACCCCAUCCAGUUGUCGUGGCGAUUUAAAAAUGCCAGCAGAUCUCUCAGGCAUUGAUCAUAAUCAAUGGACAGGUCACCGUAGCCACCAGAUCCAGUCUGUAUCCAGAUCAGAGGGUCACUGCAGUCACCCGGAUCCAGUACGUAUCCAGACCAGAUGGUGGAUCAGCACAUAGAAAGGACCUCUACAUCCCUGAAAGACAGCGGAGACCAGGACAACUAGAGCCCCAGAUACAGAUCCCCUGUAAAGACCUUGUCUCAGAGGACCACUAGGACAAGACCACAGGAAACAGAUGAUUCUUCUGCACAAUCUGAAUUUGCUGCAGCCUGGAAUUGAACUACUGGUUUCGUCUGGUCAGAGGAGAACUGGC